GACGAACCGUCCUAACGUUAUUCGGAAUCACUGGGCUUAAAGGGCGCGUAGGCGGAUGAGCAAGUCCGGAGUGAAAUCCUUCGGCUUAACCGGAGAAGUGCUUUGGAUACUGCUCGUCUUGAGGGAGGUAGGGGCAUGUGGAACUUCUGGUGGAGCGGUGAAAUGCGUUGAUAUCAGAAGGAACGCCGGUGGCGAAAGCGACGUGCUGGCCCUCUUCUGACGCUGAGGCGCGAAAGCUAGGGGAGCAAACGGG
rnacentral:rRNA from 1 species